rnacentral:tRNA from 1 species
GGUUGUGGCUCAGUGGUAGAGUGCUUGCCUAGCACGUGUGAGGCACUGGGUUCGAUUCUCAGCUUGACCU